rnacentral:rRNA from 1 species
AUUGAACGCUGGCGGCAGGCCUAACACAUGCACGUCGAACGAGUGGCGGACGGGUGAGUAAUGUCUGGGAAACUGCCUGAUGGAGGGGGAUAACUACUGGAAACGGUAGAUAAUACCGCAUACCAUCGGAUGUGCCCAGAUGGGAUUAGCUAGUAGGUUGGGUAAAGGCUCACCUAGGCGACGCUCCCUAGCUGGUCUGAGAGUAUGACCAUCCCCACUGUGACUGAGCCACGGUCCAGACUCAUACGGGAGGCAUCAGUGUGGAAUAUUGCACAAUUGGCGCAAGCCUGAUGCAGCCAUGCCGCGUGUGUGAAGAAGGCCUUCGGGUUGUAAAGCACUUUCAGCGAGGAGGCGUUACUCGCAGAAGAAGCACCGGCUAACUCCGUGCCAGCAUCCGCGGUAAUAC